rnacentral:rRNA from 1 species
CCCUUAGAUGUCCUGGGCCGCACGCGCGCUACACUGAUGCAUUCAACGAGCCUAUCCUUGACCGACAGGUCCGGGUAAUCUUUGAAUCUGCAUCGUGACGGGGAUAGAUUAUUGCAAUUAUUAAUCUUCAACGAGGAAUGCCUAGUAGGCGCAAGUCAUCAGCUUGCGCCGAUUACGUCCCUGCCCUUUGUACACACCGCCCGUCGCUCCUACCGAUUGGGUGUGCUGGUGAAAUGUUCGGAUCGGCCGUUUGUCGCGGUUUCCGCGGCUCGUGGCUGAGAAGUUCAUUAAACCCUCCCACCUAGAGGAAGGAGAAGUCGUAACA